ensembl:lncRNA
AGUGUACUCAUACUAGAAGACUUUGGAAGGUCAUCUUCACCUGGAUCAGAAUAGAAAUGGUCUAAUCAUGUCCUUAUCAGUCAGUUCGAAAUAUGUCAGUUUAUUCUACUGGCCUGCUGAGUUUUGAACGCACUGCAAAGUGGUUAUUAUAUUUUCAAUAAGACAUAUGACAGCGGUUGAUUGCAUCAUAUCAUACUUUGAUCACAAAGUACAAGAGGACCUUUAUUAUGAAAGUGUGUCAGAAGGAAUGGAGUGAAAUAUGCUUUUUAAAAAGCUUCUUUCUGUCAUACUGGAAGGAAUAACAGAACUACUAAAUUCAGGGUGCGUUGUCUCAGCACUCCUCAGAGACAUUUCUCAAGGCUGGCUCAGAGAAGACUGCAUCGUGAUGAAUCACCAUUCCAUCAUCUGUAAACAAUGACCAGCAUCUGUAAUGAAACUAAACCAAGCCAAACCGAAUGAACCCCCAGAGAAACUCACAGAAAAAAGAAAAUACUAUAAUAAACUAUUUCCAGUAUAUUGAUGUAUUCUGUAUUUACUAAAAAAAAAAAGAAACAAAAAACAACAACAACAAAAAAAACAUCCUGAGGGAGAGGAAUCUCACUGUUUUUGUCCUAUGGAUCCAUUAGGCUUAAUGGAGGAGCAAUUUUAAACAACAUGGAAGAGCCGAAGAGAAUUAAUCUCCUCAUAGAAACAAGGAAGUGUGGGCUAGCUGAAGUAAUGCAGGUUAAAUUGAAGUGAAGAAACAGGCAAGAUUACGUUUUUGUCACCUCUUACCACACAGAUCUGUCUUGCUCAGAGACAAUUUCCCAUUGGUGUCAGUCUGAUACACUAUAUCAGAUCAGACGUGCUUUGGUUCUUCCAAACAGCAAUGACGGCUGUUAGAAGUGACUCAGAAAUUUCCUGUGUAAUGCAGCUACCUAGAGUGGUUUAUUAUGCAUCCCAAUGAUAAACAAUACUCAUAAUAAUGAGUUAGGAGAAAUUUCACCUUAUUCUUACUACUUGAUUUUGCCCAAGUGUAGUCCUUACCAUGUCUUAAAUGAAGAGAAAUUAUUUUUCUAAAUAUGCCAACUCAGAAAAUUGGAAUAGUAUGUGAUUACUGGGAGUCUAACUACGUGAGCUUGCUGUGCUGUCAUAUGGUAAGAUAUAAGCCAGUUCUGGAACAGGAGCCAAGUGUUUACACUGAUGUGGUAUGGUACAUGAGUUAUUCUCUUGCUGAGAGGCAAUGGGUAUGAGUUUAGCAGCUCUUAACUAAUGCUGCACCAGAGUGUUCAGUUUAAACUUUGUCAAACUGAAUUCACAUUUAUCUACUGCCUCCAAAUAGAUUUACCUUAUAUAACAUUGCUAAUGUUGUAGAUGCUGGUGGCAGAGCAAGGAACUGAAUCCUGAUUACCAUAUGCAACAGGCAUGCCAGUACUGAAUCACCAGCUCACUCACUAUUGAUAUUCAUUAAUGCUACCAUUUCUAACACUGUUUUGUGCUUUGGAUACUGGUAUCUCCCCUAGCAAAACUGAAAUUAUAUAAGGGCUUAUGAAUGUGAGAAGAUGUGGUAGAAGCAUGACUUCAAAAUGCAAUUAAUUUUUGUGAUUUGGAAAUGGGAGACUAUUUCUGAAUUCAGCUCAGAAUAAAACUAAACUGAUAGCUAAGGAUGCCAAGCAUGGCUGGAUUUUCUUUUUUUCUUGUGUUUUAUGAUCUCCUUUAUGUGUCUGUUGUUCUACCAAUGCUCUUGAUUAAUUCUUCAACAAAUUUGUAUGUGACAGCAGUUUCCAUUAUGAAAUAAAGCGUACCUUUUUUUUCAUCUUC